ACCACAUUCCUUAGAAAGGACUCCAGGCAUCUGCUGCAGUAAAAUUAGUGAUUUAUAUUCAGACAAACAUACAAACGACUGAUAUGAAAUAUUACAGCGUAGUAUUUGUGUAUUUUGAUUGAUGUUCUUCAAUAUGCCUCAACUAUUGGCCCUUAGGUCUGCAGGCUUCAUACACAGGAAACUGCUAAAUGAUGAAACAGGGCUGCGUUCAGCACCGACAAAACGUUUUUUAAACGGAAACGGUGGUGCGGUUGAACAACCUGUUGUGAUGACGCAAGAGUUUAACUACGGCAGCUGAGAAGGGAAUUCUUUGUGUUAUUUUCGAAGAAUUUUCGGAGCCUGACGAAAUCGGUAUAAAUACGUGUUGAAUACUGCAAAAUACAUAUCUUCUAAUAUCUUCAAUUGUUGCGUAUACCGAACUGCAGCGGAUAUUUUGACCCAUUGUGCGAGCUGUCCCUUUAAUACCGCGUGGUUUAUAUACAUGCUGCUGAUUGGGCUGACAUUCUUGACACACCCAGCAAACAAGAGAACACGUAUCAUAAACCUCGUUGCAAACCGUUUCUAGGAAACGUGUCGUUCCCAGGAAACGUGUCGUUCCCGGAAACCGUAGCGCACCGGUUUGAGGUUGAACAUGCCCAAGAUUCCACUUCAAUGUUGAUCGUUAUAUUUACAAGAACCAACCAACCAAUGUUAAUCAAGCUCGCGGUCUCACGAGCGGCCUAGGCAAAGAAAUCGACGGGACAGAGCUGCUCGAGUCGCAGCGUAUUGUGUAUGAGCUAAAACCUGGCAGUCAGUUUUCAACACAGUGAUUUAAUUUAUAGUCAGAGCCAUCUAAGAAGUUGAAGAGGUGAUGUAGGACCAAGUAUCGCUCCAGUUCUGUACCGUUUCCAGCACUCCUCUCUCCCACACAAGUUACCCAAAGCCAGCCCCUGUCCAUCUGCACCGUCAGGCACCUCAGCUGGGAGAGUUACAAGCACCAGCCUCCCUCUUCUGUUCAGUGUCAGCGAGCUCAGUGUGGUGGAAUGCGGCUGCAGGGAGGGACCCUGACGCUUCUGGCUCCUUACCUGUGUUUCUGUCAGGCACAGCCCGUUGGCCAGCUGCUUCCGCUCGGCACCCACCACGUAAUGAUUCUUCUCAAAGGCAUGUUCCAGCCGUAGCAACUGCGAUGGGGAGAAGGCAGUACGGAUGCGCUUGGGCUUGCGGGAGAAGGGCCCGUGUAGCAGCAGGUUUUCUGGGCUACUGUCCUCACCUGGAGAGGAGGAGGAAGACGCUUUCACAUUGCUGUUGGAUGACUUUGUCACCCUGAGGUUUGAUUUGGUUGAGAUUCAACAGACACUUGACUGGAAUCACCACAAUACAUCUAGAAAAAACUGCAUAUUAAAGAUGUGGAGGACUGGAGGUGGAGAUAUCACCUUGAGACAAUACAUCGGUACUGCUUGUGUUCAAAUUUGCGGAUGGGACGGGCAGUGCUGUUUCUCUCCCCCCAUAAACUGACAUUUUCACUCGUCCAGCCU